UUGUAAUACUUGUACUUUACAAUUUUAGUACUUGUACUUUAAAGUUUUAGUUUUUGAGCUUUGGUACAAGAUAAAAAUUCAUGACAACGUAAUUAAUUUGUUGUGAUAUAAUUAGCCUUCCCAAUAUUUGAUAAUACACAAUAGAAUUCAAUUUACCAAUUCUCGCGCAACCAAACAAUUUAGAAAACAAAUUACAAAAUCUUAAUUUUUAACAUCAACGAAAAGAUAAACAAAUUGAUACGUUUUUGACAAUUUUAAUUUUUAUAAUCAACUAUUUAAUCCGCUGUAUCCAAAUUUGGUAACAAUUAAUGGUGAUUUCGCAUUCCAUAAAAAUAUUACUUGUUACUUGUUUGUACAUAAAACAUUACAUUGUCUACUUCUUAAAUUUCAAGAUUUGUCAAAUAUGUUUUAUAAUAUAGCAAAAAUACAAAUAUAAGUAAAUUCACCAGUGAAUCUAUCCAUAAAUCCAUUUAUGUAUGAUUAAAAUGUUGAGACUGUAAAAAGAAAAUCAAAUGAAUCAACUUAUAUUCACAUAUAAAUAUAAAUAUUUAUUAAAAUUAAUAUUUUAGCCUCGAGGUCAUAGACUAAUUUAAGUGAAAACAAGAUAAAAUAUUUAUUUGAAAAUUGCAAUGCCCAAAACGAUUAAUAAACAAACAUUUUAAUAAAUUUUAAUUGUUUACAAAACGAGAAUUAAGCAUAUUAAUAAGUUUAAGAUUUGAUAUGUUGCUUUCAUGAGGGUGUAAUUUAGAAAAUGUUAAUUUUGGAAAGCAUUUAUAAUAUUUAACCGUUGGAAGUCGAAAGAGUUGGCUUGUUAUUCCCGCAAUAUAUACGUUCUUCAGCUAUCCCGCUCUAACAUACCCAACCCGGGAGACCCAUGGCGAUCUCCGCUCCCCGGAGACCAAAGAACCACCUUCCUUCGCCGGAGAUCUAAGAAGCCCUUGGAAUUCGAAAGGACUGGUUUGUAGUCGAGCGUUAUAUUCAUCAUUCCGCUCUCAACAAACCCAAACACAACCAAACCCGUAGCGAUCUAUGUAACUACACUACCGGAGACGUAAACACCCCCAACCUUCGCAGGAUACUCUCAUUCAUCUCUCUUGUCCAAAAAAUUAUCAAGAUCAUUGAUGGAUGAGAAGCUAACAUUGGACUCAUGGAUUAAUUUUGCACUUUAUUAGUUUUGACUGAAUGUUCUUAAUCAGAACAACUGAACAAGACUUAAUUCAGUAAGGCUGUUUCUUUUUUACUUAAAGCAAAAAGAAAGAAUUACGCAAAGUUUCAAGGAGAGAAGGCUUUCCCUAUUAGAGGAAUAAGCUCUACUGUGAAGAAUAAUUAUUGUGAGAAGGUGCUUAUUCAGGUUAGCUGGUAAGUCUCAAAGUCAAAGUCAAGGUCAAAAUGAAAUGAGGAGAAAGUCUCUCAAAAUGAUGCCUGCAUAGUUCACCCUGUCACCCUCUCGAGAGUGGAUGUGCUCUGAUGUUAGGUGAUGUUCAAUCAUUUCUUAUCAGUUGUUUCAGACCAGAUAAACAAGGCAAGGUCUUGAAAUAUGCAUCUUUAUAUGCUUCACUGCUAAAGCUAGAAGUCAUUGAUGAUGAUAAAGACAAUAGACUGUGAACCCGAUAUUGAGCUCAUAGUUGAAUGGAGGAGAGACUUGAUACAGAUACUACUUCAGAAGACAUUCAUUCGAGCAGCAAGCAGAAAAACAACAGGCAAAGGCAAAAAAACCCACGACCCUGCCCUAUAUAUGGUCACGGUCAAAGUCAAAGCCCUGGUCAAAGUCAAGGUCAAAAAUGAAAGGAGGGGAAAUAUAUGGGCUUCCAAAGACCACCAGCCUCUCGAAAUGGCCCCCAAUGAUGUCAGGUCACCAUAGUUCCCAAAUACCCUCUGACCCUCUCGAGUUUAAUAAAUUAUCACUGGUGUGGGGAAAGCCACAACAGCAUCUGUUGGGGGUUGAAGAGGACAUGGAAAUGAAGAUGCUGGGGAGUAGGCAGAUAUUGACCCACAGAGAUGAUAAACACAUGUGAUUCGUGCAUACAGAAAUGCUCUUUCUAUUUUUAAAAGAACAACAUGGAUUCAUAUGCAGGAUCAUGUCCAUUUUCAUAUAGGAAUCAGGACAGUGGUAUUCUUUUCUUGGAAGGUUUGAUGUGGCAGUUAAACAUACAUUAGAAAUUGUGGCUUGUAGUCGUCAAUCAAAGCCAAUUUAUAUAUCUUAUCUUCCUUUGGCACACAUAUAACCAGAUCAUAUUGGUGUACUAUGGUGGCUCAGUUGGGUUUUAUCAAGGAGGCAACUUGAAAUUGUUGGAUGACAAGGCAAGGUAUUCGCUUCCUCCUGUAAUAUCUCACCUUCUUAUUUAUUUAGUUACGUGUUUUUUUUUUCUCUUGUAUUUGUUAAGAAAAUAUUUUGUUUUGAGAAUAUGAGUUUUCUAACCAUCAUGCUUUAUCAAACCUCACAAAUCUCAUGCCUGGGAAUUUUCCAUUAUAUAAUACUAUUUCUGGUGGCACUUCAUGGGAUCUUUGUAUGCUUCACUGCUAAAAGCUACAAGUCAUUGAUGAUGGAGGAACUUGAUAUUGAGCUCAUUGUUGAAUGGAGAUUGAUGUGGAUGUGGAUGAUGCAAAUGCUAUGAUAUUAUAAUGCGAAUCAGAGGAAUCAAAGACAAACUGUAAACACUUUUUCCAUGUUCAAAUCAUCAGAAGACGUGGAUGUAUUUCCUGUGAAUAACUUUCAAGACCCUCUUUGUCUUCAUUGAAUUAAGCUCCUUCCAAAAUCUCUUGCAAAUGGAACACCUUCAUCUUCAUCCUCUGAUAACAAUUAGAAGACAAUCAUUUGGGCAGCAGGCAGAGCCAAAAAAACUUACAACCCUGCCCUGCCCGAGAUCUUUCCAUUCAAGAUUUAGAAAAGUUUCUCAACUCUUCUGUUGAUGGUCAUGGUCAAAGUCAAAGCCAUGGUCAAAAUGAAAGGAGUAGAAUUAUAUGGGAUUCCAAAGACCGCCAAUUUCUCGAAAUGGCCCCCGAUAAUGCCACCAUAGUUCCCAAAUAUUAUCCCCCUGACCCUCUCGAGUUUGAUAAAUUAUCACUGGGCUGGGGAAAGCCACAGCAGCAUCCUUUGGGGGUUGAAGAGGUAAAUUGUUUGAUUUUGUUACAAAUAGCAUUUUUUUUUUCCAAUUAAGUUAUUGCACUUUGAAAAUCUAAUCUUGUUUGGUUCUGGUUACCAACUUUUACUUUCAUAUUUUUCCGAUUAAGACAUUAUAUAUUGAAAAUCUAACCAUUUUCAACACUAUAUUUUCUAUUAUAGCGCUAUACUUUCAAUAUCUAACUUAUAAGACCUUAUAUUUUUAAUUUUUCUUCUUUUUGGUCAUUUUACUUUGAAGUGGAUUUUUUUUCCUAUUAAGCAACUGUACUUUCAAUUAUCUUUUCAUAUUAUCAAAAUCUACUCAAUUAAAACAUUGUUUUUUCAACUAUGUUUACUCGCUUUGCAUUUUAAAACUCUAACCUGAAAAGACAUUGUAAAUUGAAAAUCUAAACAUGUUUGAUAUUGGUUAGAGUUUAUGUCAUAUUACUUUCUCUUGUAACUUUCAUUUCCUAUAAAGACAUGGCAUUCCAAAGUAGUCAUUGCACUUUUAUUUGUACAUCUAAGGUCCCUAAACAAAAAAUAUUAUUACUGAUAUUUUAAUAAAUAAAAAACAAAUCUAAACGUAAUAAAUACUUACUGCUUGUUUAUUAAUCCCCAAAUCCCCAAACUUCAACCUUUUUGCGGGAGAUCGAACCUAAAAAGCUUGAGAUAUUAAACCCUUCAACAUAGAAAUCGACUUCAAAACCCUUUAAAUGGAAUUCCUAAAACUCCAACCACUGAAAAACAAAAUAAAAACCCACCUCUAAGUUUAUAAGAUGAAACAAAAUAUCGAGAUCAAACACUUUAGUAGGAAAUCCAAAAUCUAGCCACCCCAAAUCUUAAAAAUUACAAAGCUAAAAUCAAUAUGGAAAUGUUUCUUAAGGCGUUGUACUUCUAAUCUUCUUUCUAUUAAAGCAUUUUAUCCCAUUAAAACCUUUAUUAUUAUACUUUGAAUAUCUACCAAAUUAUAAGAUUAUACUUUCAAACUUGAACCAAUUUAAAUAUUUACUUCUAACUUUUCUGUUUUAAGAUAUUUACUUUUCCAACAGGGACCAAAUUUACAGUUUACUUAACACUUAAUUUUUUUCCGAUUAAGACAUUUUACUUUUAUUAUUUCUUGUAUUAAGACACUGUGUAAAUAAAUUGUAACCAAUUAUAGCAUUAUAUCUUCAGUAUCUAACCUAUUAAGACAUUGUAUAUUUUAUUUUACUUCCCAAGAUAUCGUGGUUUGAAAGAUUACAGUUUAUAAUUUUCUUAUUGAGAUGUACAUAUCAAAGGUAACGACAUAUAGCACUCUAUACUUACAAAACGUUGUACCUUUCAAUUCUUUUUCUAAUUAAAACAUUGCAUAUAAGGGCAUCACUUUUCAUCUUGAUGACAUUGCUAUAAUUGGAUAGAUUUUCCAGGGCUACUUACUACAAAGAUGAAGUGCAAAUUAAUGUAUGUAUAAUCCUUAGACUUAGAUUGAGACUGAUUUCAACAUACUUCAUCUAUAUCAUAUGUGAAAUUUUUUGUUACUGGAUCAUAUGUUAAUACUUUAAUACUACAUAUUUUGUUUUACUAUUAGUACUUAAUAGAUAGAUAAUUUUCAUUAUCGAAUAUCAAUGAUUCCGUAACAAUAUUUUAAAACAAUAUAUGAAUGCUUUAUCUAUCUAUCUGUUUUUUAGUAAUAUUACAAUUUUGGUCCUCGUUUUGAGCUUUGUAAUGUUUUUGAUCCUUGUUCCAAGUAAAAUGACAAUAAUGCUAUGACCAAAACUUCAAAAAUUAUUGUUACAAGAAUCUCAAAUAAGACUACCCAAUUCAUAAUUCAUUAAUUAGCUAUAAUCAGGGACCAAAAGUGUAUUUUACUCUUCUUUAUAAGUUUGUGUGCUUCUGAUAAGUUCCACCUUUUUUGUAUCAGAUAAAACAUGUGAUUUGUGCAUAAUACAUAAAUGGUGUUUCUAUUUUUUUAAGAAUAACAUGGAUUCAUAUGUCCAUUUUCAUAUAGGGCAGUAAGUUAGUUCUAAAUGAACUACUAUUUAUUAAAGUUAGGUGAGCAGAUAAAGAAGGCAAGUGUUGCAAUGAUAAAGUAUUUGAGAUAGUAAACCUGGAUUGGAUGAUGUGACAAUUUGUUUGUCAAAGAGUGGAUGUGCUCUGAAGUUAGGUGAUGUUCAAUCAUUUCUUAUCAGUUGUUUCAGACCAGAUAAACAAGGCAAGGUUGUUACAAGCAAACCUCAAACUUCAAGCUCCUUCAAAAGAAUACCAAGAAAUCACUCUUCAAGCUCACUCACACUCAAACAUGGGAGAUGAUGCACGAAACUAGGGUUUAUGUACAGAGGGGACCGACAAGGAGGUCGUGCAAAGGCUAUAAAGCCUUUAAAUAAGGUGCAACACCCUAAAAAUUAAGGUUUCAUAUUGAGGCUCCUUGACUCGCUGAGUUUGCCCAUUAUUAUCCGCAGCCAAUGCCACUUCAACACGACGAGUUGAAGCCUUCCAACUCGUCGAGUUGCCAAGGAAAACAUGACUAAAGAUUUAAAUUUCAUACCUGAGGAUUGGGAUGUUACAACUCUCCCCCACUUGGACUAGGCUUUAUCCUCGAAGCCUUUUGCGGUAAACAACUUCGGGUAAUGCUCCCGUAUCUCUGCCUCUGGCUCCCAGGUCCACUUAGAGCCCCUCCGAUGUUGCCAACGUACCUUUACCAAAGGUAUUUCCUUGUUACGCAAAAUCUUCACUUUCUUCUCCAGGAUAACUAUCGGCCUCUCGACAUAGUUCAGGCGCUCAUCAGCCUGAAUAUCAUCCAAUGAUACCACUGCAUCCUCGUCCAAUACGCACUUUCACAACUGCGAAAUGUGGAAAGUGCUAUGAAUCUGAUUAAGCUCCUUCGGAAGAUCCAAUCUAUAAGCCACCUUGCCAACCAUGGCAAUAACCCGGAAUGGUCCAAUAUAUCGGGGGCCCAACUUCCCAUUUCCAAGGUGAGGCCUUUAGCAACAUCAUAUCACCGACCUGAAACUCCAACUUAGAUCGGCGUCGGUCGGCAUAGCUCUUUUGCCGACUCUAAGCAGUCUGCAAUCUCUGUCUGAUCUACUGAAUUAUCUAUGUAGUCUGCAGAACCACCUCGGUCCGACCCAUGACUUUGUGACCAACUUUCCCUCAAUAGACCGGGUUGCGACAUCUCCUCCCAUACAGGAGCUCAAAAGACAGAGCACCAAUGCUAAAAUGGAAGUUGUGGAGAACUCUGCAAGAGGUAGGUAGGAGUCCCAGCUCCUGUCAAAAUCAAUAACACAUGAUCGCAACAUAUCCUCGAGAAUCUGGAUGGUCCGUUCACUCUGGCUGUAGGUCUGCGGAUGAUAAGCUGUGCUGAAAAUGAAUGUAGCCUCGUGCCCAGUUCUUCAUGAAACUUCUGCCAAAAUCGGGAGGUGAACCGAACAUUACGGUCUGAAACAAUAGAAACCGGAACCCCAUGGCGAGCAACGAUCUCGUGAAUAUACCAUUAGCCAACUGUUGGAUUAGGUGUCUAAGCCCAUAACUAUUUUGGUAUGUACUUGAUUUGAUUAUGAGCAUGGUCCUUUUUGGUGUUCUCCACUCAUGCAACUUGAUAGGAUAACAAGAGGAAAAAAAGUAAACUUUAUUAUAUGAAUAAUAAAUUAGUACUAAAAAUGGUUUUAUUAAUAUAUUACAAGAUUACUAUAUUAUUAAUUAGUAUUGAUCAGAAAUUAAUUUGGAAUUAAGUUGGUGAUCAAAAGAGACUGAUUAAAUAAAGGGGACUGAUAUUGCAAUUAUCUGAUAGUUGCUAGUUGGGCUAUGGAUUCCUAAUAGAAGGGAUUGGACAAAAUCUAUGGAAGCCCAUAAAGAUUUCGUCUAAGGGGGCCUUCUAGAAGGGCUCCAUGGAUUGCAUAAGGCCUAAGCAAGAAAAUUAGGGUUUCCACCAUAAAACCGUAAUAGCCUCAGCUAUAAAUAUACCCCUUAGGAUGUGGAAUUGGGCUCUAUGUCUUCUUUGAGUUGCCCUGGCCGAUUUCACCUCUCUCCUAAGUCAUCUUCUUGCAUUGAGUGUCUGUGACUCCAUUAGAGGUGCAAAACUUAGGGCACUAGGCUUUCAGAAGUCAAUAUCAAGAAGGAUUAAACUUGUUAUUGCUACAUAACAAGAGAGGUAAAGAUUCUAACCCUAUUCAUAUGUGAUUUUCGAUAUAUGUGCUAGUCAUAGGGUUAUUGCUUUGGUAUUCAUAGUUGUAUGUUCAAAUUAGAAAAACCUAGAUCCAAAGCAAUUAGGGUUGCAUGUGCACCAUAACAAUGAUGUUAUGCUCAAAACCCAACAGUGGUAUCAGAGUGUAGGUCAUUUUUUUAUUUGAAUAGAUGCAAAAGCGAACUGCCAAAGGAUCAAAAAGUCGAAAUUUUGUUGUCUGACAUGUCUACUCGACGAGUCUAUGCCUGGACUCGACGAGUUCUAGAGUGGACUCGAUGAGCAAAGUGAUAUGUUGUCGGAUUUUUCGAUUUUUUGGUCAGAUUUUUAUUAUGAUAAUUACCAAAACUCGUUUUUAUUGUCUAAA